rnacentral:rRNA from 1 species
GGCUCUGAGGUGUGUACACAUCGCCCGGUCGCUCUCAUUAUAGAUUAGUCCAUCUCAUUCCUUUGGGUCAGCCUCGAUUCAGAGGAGAUAAGACGAACCGUGAUAGAUGUACUGGAAAGUGUAUCUGCGACGAGUUUCC